GUGCCAGCCGCCGCGGUAAAACGUAGGUGGCGAGCGUUAUCCGGAUUUACUGGGCGUAAAGGGCGUGUAGGUGGCCGGGCAAGUCGGGCAUGAAAUCUUUUGGCUCAACCGAGAGAGGCUGUCCGAUACUGUUCGGCUUGAGGACGGGAGAGGGUGGUGGAAUUCCGCGUGUAGUGGUGAAAUGCGUAGAGAUGCGGAGGAACACCAGUGGCGAAAGCGGCCACCUGGCCCGGCCCUGACACUGAAACGCGAAAGCUAGGGUAGCGAACGGGAUUAGAAACCCGAGUAGUCC
rnacentral:rRNA from 1 species